UACGUAGGGGGCAAGCGUUGUCCGGAUUUAUUGGGCGUAAAGAGCGUGUAGGCGGCCAGGUAGGUCCGUUGUGAAAACUCGGAGGCUCAACCUCGAGCUGUCGAUGGAAACCAUCUGGCUAGAGUCCGGAAGAGGAGAGUGGAAUUCCCGGUGUAGCGGUGAAAUGCGCAGAUAUCGGGAGGAACGACCGGUGGCGAAGGCGGUCUCUGGGCCUUACCUGACGCUGAGGAGCGAAAGCGUGGGGAGCAAACAGG
rnacentral:rRNA from 1 species